rnacentral:lncRNA from 1 species
CGAUAAAAAUAAGAGUGAAGGCUCUCAAAAUUAAGCAGAUACAGAAGGGUCUGAGGUAGGAUCCAACCAAUUAGAGCCUGUCUUUGGGCAAGGCUCUGGCGGCCACAGAAAGCCCACAGCACAGCUCCCAGCUGCACUGCAAGCCUCUGUCCCACUGCCCCCAGCUCAAAGCAAAGCAGACACCUGAAGCAGGCGGUGCUCCCCAAAAGCAGCGCCCCAAAAGAUGCUGGGACAGGCGCCAUGGGCAAGGCUGUCUCCUUCUGGCCCUGCUGUUCUGCUGCUGAUGCUCUGUGAGUUGGGGCAUUGCUGGGCAUGGGGGCUGAGGGCUGGAGGGCUGCUGCAGUGGGCAGUAGCAGCUCCCCCAGCUCCCCAUGCCCGGAUUCCGCACGCCCUCCCCGCAGGCACGGUGCUGGCAGUGGUGGCCGUCGGCCUCGUCCUCCUGGCUGCAGGCAGCUGCUUUGUCAUCAGGAAAGGUGAGGGAGUGGGGGAAGAAGAGGGAAAGGCUGAGGCCAUGGGGAUCCUGCUGUGGGACUCGUGCACUGGGAAAUGUGGUGGAGGGAACCUGGGGGUACGCAGCUGGGGCAGGCGGUGCCUGGGGGUGAUGGCUGUGGGCAGCCCAGCUGGGGAGGCUGCUGAGGGAGCUGGGGAGCUUCAGCCUUCAUCCCCCAGCCCCGAGAUGGGAGCCAAGACUGGGCAGCACCUUGACCUGCGCAUCUCAUCCCCUGUUCUUCUUGCAGGUGCCUGCAGAGGGAGAUGCCCAAGUGCUCAGGACUCUUCUGCUUACACCAGCCAUUUCUAUGCCAACGUGGAUGAGAUGGGCAGAGUGAAGCUGCUCUCAACACCCACUGGAUGUCAAAAGCUGAGCAAGUGA